AUGCUCUCAGACCAAACUCCGUGUCCGGGAUCCUACGUCGGCAACUUUCAGACAAAGAAGCCUUUCACUGUGACAUCGGUUUUCAAUUCUGACUGCCAGACGGUCUUUGGUCCUAUAAACAAAAUCAGCACAGACUACAGGCCUGCUGUAAAGUUUUCUCAGGACUCCAGAUGCCUGAGAGAGGGAAGGAGGUGCUCCUUUUGGGUUGACAUGACCGGACAUAACAAUGAGAGAGCUUAUGGAGAGGGACGGGCAACCCUAAAAGGGCAAGUGACAGCAACACGAUACCACACUUAAAUAAGCAUGCAAAGUCUAUUGCACGCACAGUUCAUCCAUUUAGCAUGCAUCUCCCAUAAUACGAUGGCGAUACAUUUUUUCAGAUGUCACCCAUUUGUUCUUGUUGUCCUUUAUUUGGCAAAGUAAGUUCUAGAUGAAUGUGGUAUUAAGUAACUAUGUAUCCUCACUCCCGAGCCAAACCACUCUCCUCUGAGAUGUCACAGGACGUGUCCAUGUAUAGUUAACAGCACAGCUCUAUUAGGCCAUAAACAAACAGUCCGCCAUCAUGUGGCAUUAUCACUGCGGCUACUGCAUUUAUAGCUCCUAAGGCUCUCACAGCUGGCUGUACAGUGCUAUUACUAUCCCAUGUAACAAAAACACUAUAUUUCUAUAUCUAUCUUUUCCAGUCACAUGACAAAAAACUCAUGCUGAAAAUACAGAGAGCUCAACCAACACUUUACAAUGGCUCUUUGUGCGUAAGCUGCUUUAUUUUUUGUGCUGCUAUUUAUUUUAUGCAUUUUUGAAUUUAUGUAUGCAUUUAUGCUUUUCUUUAUUUUGUUUUUAUUCAUGCAUUUAUUUGUGCUUCUAUUUUGGCAUUUAUUUAGGCUUUUAUUUAUGCAUUUAUUUGUAUUUAUUAAUUGUGCCUUUAUUUAUUUAUUUAUUUAUUUAUUUAUUUUUUAUUUAUUUAUUUACAUGCAAAUUUUCUACAUGGAAAAUUUAUUUUUUAUGACACUGCAGAUUUAUUCAGGUCAAAAAUAUCUAUCAUGUGUUCAAAAAUCUUCUUGGUUUAAACCAUAAAUUAUUUAGCACAUAAGCCAUAAUUUAUUAAGUGAAGCAUUUCUGUCUCAUCCCCCCUUUUCAGGUCAAUUAACCUUUGAACCUUUCACAUGCAGGUACAGGCAUGAUAUGAACUUUCUGAACCUCAGGUAGCUUUGCUCAACCCAAAGCUAUAAAAUACAUCAGCUUUUUGAUUUAACAUCACUAUAAAAAAUAUUUUAUUUGCAAAUACUGUGACACCCGUAAAACUAAAAAAAAAGUAAAAAAAAAAAAUAAAAUAAAAAAGUGUUUUUGGCUGUAUGAUGUA
ensembl:lncRNA